rnacentral:rRNA from 1 species
UACGAAGGACCCGAGCGUUAUCCGGAUUUAUUGGGUUUAAAGGGUGCGUAGGCGGACUAGUAAGUCAGUGGUGAAAGCCCAUCGCUUAACGGCGGAACUGCCAUUGAUACUGCUAGUCUUGAGUAUGGUUGAGGUGGGCGGAAUGUGUCAUGUAGCGGUGAAAUGCUUAGAUAUGACCCAGAACACCAAUUGCGAAGGCAGCUCGCUAAGCCAUAACUGACGCUGAUGCACGAAAGCGUGGGGAGCAAACAGG